rnacentral:lncRNA from 1 species
UCUCUCUCUCUCUCUCUCUCUGUCUGCCUUACUCAUUCCGUACUGACUACAUCUCCUCUCUCUCUGCCUCUCUCUCACACACACACACACACACACACACACAGUGUUCCUCACACUGCUUGUGUCUGAAUGUGAGAAAGGGCAGGUGUGGGAACUGGAUAACUGAAGGGUAACUUAGAGGUCAGUGUGUGUUUACUCUGUGUGUGUGUGUGUGUGUGUGUUUUUCUGUGCUCAGAGGAAGCUGUGUGUGUGUGUGUUUACUGUGCUUGGAGGGAGCUUUGUGUGUGUGUGUGUGUGUGUGUGUGUGUGCGUGUUUACUGUGCUCAGAGGGAGCUGUGUGUGUGUGUGUGUGUGUGUGUGUGUGUGCUCAGAGGGAGCUGGGGCCAGAGCCCAGAGCAGGCAGGGAAACAUUCAGGCAGCGGGCGUGCAGUCGACUGAGCGCACACACACACACACACACACACACACUCACUCACACUCACGUCCUCCUCCAAUAACAUACACCAUAUGCUGCCGUUCGCAAAUGAAAUGGGAAAAAAACGGAUGCUGAAGUAUGCAAGUGUGUGUUGCUUCAGUGUCAGUCAAUCCCACUGAGCUGGAUCUUCAGCAUAUUACCUCUCCUUCCUAAACCCCACAAAUACUGAGGACGUGACUCACACACAUGCCAGAGCGCGCGCGCACACACGCGCACACACACACACAGACACACACACACACACAUGCUAGAGCACACACACACACACGCUAGAGCUUCCUACAUGCACAGCAACCCAAGAGUCACUCACGCACACACACACACACACAAACACCAGAGGCAAGGGGUAUUUACUUUCUAUUGUAUUUCUAUUUAAGACAGUUCUUUUAUUUCAUAAAUAACACUCAACAAGCAUGUUCAGAGACGGGACAGGGAUACAAAAAAGGCAGUUUGGUGGUAAAAUAACAUGUGUGUGCUGUGUGUGGCAAACAUCAGUCAGCUGUGCAAGAAGGAUGGGGUCAAAGGUCGCAGAGGGUUAUGGGGUUUAUGUGAAGCAGGGUCGGAGGCUGAUGCUUGCGGUUACCGCGGGAACAUUAACUCUAUUUCUCUUGCUCUGUAGUUAUGGCACAAAGGAUCCUCUGCUGUGGAGGACAGGGGCAUAAGCAGCAUCAAUAUCUAUGGUGGUUUGUGCUACGCUAAUAAACCAGGGGCGAGGAGAGUCA